rnacentral:rRNA from 1 species
UACGUAGGGGCAAGCGUUGUCCGGAUUUAUUGGGCGUAAAGAGCGUGUAGGCGGCCAUACAGGUCCGUUGUGAAAACUGGAGGCUUAACCUCCAGACGUCGAUGGAAACCGUAUGGCUAGAGUCCGGAAGAGGAGAGUGGAAUUCCGUGGUGUAGCGGUGAAAUGCGCAGAUAUCAAGGAAGAACACCCGUGGCGAAGGCGGCUCCUCUGGGACGGUACUGACGCUGAAGACGCGAAAGCGUGGGGAGCGAACAGG